GACGAACGCUGGCGGCGUGCCUAACACAUGCAAGUCGAACGAAGCUUGACGAAUGAUUUCUUCGGAAUGAAAUCUGAUAUGACUGAGUGGCGGACGGGUGAGUAACGCGUGAGCAACCUGCCCUUCGGAACGGGAUAGUGUCUGGAAACGGACAGUAAUACCGUAUAACGUAUUUUUACCGCAUGAUAGAAAUACCAAAACUGAGGUGCCGAAGGAUGGGCUCGCGUCUGAUUAGUUAGUUGGUGGGGUAAUGGCCUACCAAGACGAUGAUGCAUAGCCGACCUGAGAGGGUGAUCGGCCACAUUGGGACUGAGACACGGCCCAAACUCCUACGGGAGGCAGCAGUAGGGAAUCUUCCGCAAUGGGCGAAAGCCUGACGGAGCAAUGCCGCGUGAGUGAAGAAGGCCUUCGGGUCGUAAAACUCUGUUAUAAGAGAAGAACAAAUUGUAGAGUAACUGCUACAGUCUUGACGGUAUCUUAUCAGAAAGCCACGGCUAACUACGUGCCAGCAGCCGCAGUAA
rnacentral:rRNA from 1 species